GAUGAACGCUGGCGGCGUGCCUAAUACAUGCAAGUCGAGCGAACAGAUGAGGAGCUUGCUCCUCUGACGUUAGCGGCGGACGGGUGAGUAACACGUGGAUAACCUACCUAUAAGACUGGGAUAACUUCGGGAAACCGGAGCUAAUACCGGAUAAUAUAUUGAACCGCAUGGUUCAAUAGUGAAAGACGGUUUUGCUGUCACUUAUAGAUGUAUCCGCGCCGCAUUAGCUAGUUGGUAAGGUAACGGCUUACCAAGGCGACGAUGCGUAGCCGACCUGAGAGGGUGAUCGGCCACACUGGAACUGAGACACGGUCCAGACUCCUAAGGGAGGCAGCAGUAGGGAAUCUUCCGCAAUGGGCGAAAGCCUGACGGAGCAACGCCGCGUGAGUGAUGAAGGUCUUCGGAUCGUAAAACUCUGUUAUUAGGGAAGAACAAAUGUGUAAGUAACUAUGCACGUCUUGACGGUACCUAAUCAGAAAGCCACGGCUAACUACGUG
rnacentral:rRNA from 1 species